CCUCGACACCACCUCCUCUCCACCCGGCGGCGCCCCCUCCUUUCUCCCCACCCGCCUUCCUCCCCAUCUGGCGGCGCCUCCUCCCUCCUUCCCAUGGCCUCCCGCACCGCGCGCCACCGGCUAGCUGCACCACCACCGCAUGCAGCGCCUCCUCCCUCCUUCCCACGGCCUCCCGCACCGCGCGUCACCGGCUAGCUGCACCACCACCGCAUCCUCAUAUACUCCAGCCCACUAUGCCAGCGAGAGAGGAAGCUACGGGAGGAGGAGAGCCCAUCCCGUGAGGAAGACGUGGGGAGGAGCUCUACCCGUCUCAGUUGCCGGCCGGGAUCUGUAAGAAGAGGAGACCCAGUGCUGGCGUCGGCUCCAGCGACGCGGGUUGAAGGCCAGUGCAGGCGAGCGCGCGCGUGCAGUGCGGUGCCCUAGACAGGUGGCAGCGGCCGUCAAGACAGGAGCGGCGCCGCGAGCGACGACCCUUGGUCGUCUUCAGGUGCGCGCCGUCCGUGGUGGCCGAUCAUGGGUGUUGGCUGGCGGCCGGAGGCCCCUGCAGCAGGCCGGUGCCCCUUAGCAAGAUUGGCAUGAACUGGGAAGGCAGCCGGUGUGUAGUAUGAUCCUCGCCUCCUCCAACUUCGUUAGGGUAAGCACGUCUCUGUCCUUUCUCUUCUCCCGUCUCUGUGUAUGUGUGUGUGUUCGUCGUUUCUCCUUUCUUCUCUCAUGAAGAAGGGGCUGCUCAGUUUUGGGACAACAAACCAUGGAGGAUAUGGGUCUGCACGGGCUUAGAGCAGGAAGCCAUGGCGGCCAAGGUUGAAGAUGAUGGUGUUGUCUUCUUCCUUCUGAUUGAUUUCCAACAGCUUAAGAACUUGUGCGGUGGUGUCAACCUCUUAUGCUCUCAGGGAAAAUCCUAAAGAAGCCUUGCUUUGCAUGGGAGCUGCAGUUCAUCUGGCUAAGAGAUCGUGCUAUGGAAGCGACGAGGGCUGCCGCAGUGUAGACAAGGACUCGGAUCUAAGAGGGACGCCGUGGAUGCGGAUAGCGAGAUGGUUUACAUGACUUAGAUCUGAGAGGGACGCAGUCAAAUGGUCUAACCAAGUUUUCUUCAAUCCUCUGUUCUACAUUCUGGUUUUGAUGCCUUGCUGCCUUUGACAUUAAGGUGGGAAGCUUGGCUGAUUCCGCCUCCAGUCAGAAGAUUAAUACAUCUAUGGUUUUAUUUUCCAUGCCAACAGCUUGAUUGAUGAUUCCUAAUGCAUCUCAGGUAUUGGUCUCUUCUCCGUAAAUGUAUAUACUUUACCAUGCUAAUUUUGUGUUAACCGUUGCGUAAUAUUUCGCCACUAGAGAUAUAUGAUAUAACCAUUUUUGUUGCUUAUACAUAAAAAGGUUGCAUGUGUGAUGUACUGCUGUUUGUAGCUUUUUGCACUUGUCUAAUUUUUAGGCCAUAUUCUGCUCAUAAGAGAAUAAUUUACAGUCGGGACCGAUUCAUUAUGACACAUGAUGUAUCAUGCACGACUGCUUAACUAGAGAGAAUAAAAUGAUGGAAUAUUCUUCUGUCCAACCAGAAAAAAAUUCUUAUAAUGUGUUUUAUUCAUUUGACAUAUCAAAAUACAUCAGCAUUUAAAGAAGUGGCAAUGAUUAGCCAUCGUCAUACUGGUGAAUACGCAUUUGGAUUUAUAACAUCGAGCAUGAUUCUUCAGGUACUUGUUUAUGCACAACACUUUCUACAAAUGGAUUCAUGGCAUCAAUAACAUUAGCAUGCUUCAUUCUGGAUAAUUUACUCAUUUAUAUGCUUUCAAGAAUUUUGAUUUAUAAUUUUCAUUAUUAGCUACACAAAGAUUCAUACCAUACUUGUGUGUGCUCUUUUUUUGUGUUACCUCAUUCUUGAAAUAGUUCACUUUGAGGAAAGUGUUAUCCUUUAGUUGUAAUUUGUGACAACUAAACACUUACAUCUCAAGAGUGUAAAGGUUCGCCCAAAGAAUUAAGUCUAAUGUAGCAUGGCUGGGCUUAUCUUAAUAGUUAGCUUAUCAGGAUUAACCUAUAGUCUAUAUAUAAGGUGGUUUAAAUCAGUCUCUCAUACAUAAAUUUGUUGUGCAAGCCCUGAAAAGGCCAGCUAGAGAUACUUCAAGGUUAUGGGGCUUUUACACAUUUGUCU